UCGUAACAAGGUUUCCGUAGGUGAACCUGCGGAAGGAUCAUUACUGAUUUGCUUAAUUGCACCACAUGUGUUUUUCUUUGAAACAAACUUGCUUUGGCGGUGGGCCCAGCCUGCCGCCAGAGGUCUAAACUUACAACCAAUUUUUUAUCAACUUGUCACACCAGAUUAUUACUAAUAGUCAAAACUUUCAACAACGGAUCUCUUGGUUCUCGCAUCGAUGAAGAACGCAGCGAAAUGCGAUACGUAAUAUGAAUUGCAGAUAUUCGUGAAUCAUCGAAUCUUUGAACGCACAUUGCGCCCUCUGGUAUUCCGGAGGGCAUGCCUGUUUGAGCGUCGUUUCUCCCUCAAACCGCUGGGUUUGGUGUUGAGCAAUACGACUUGGGUUUGCUUGAAAGACGGUAGUGGUAAGGCGGGAUCGCUUUGACAAUGGCUUAGGUCUAACCAAAAACAUUGCUUGCGGCGGUAACGUCUACCACGUAUAUCUUCAAACUUUGACCUCAAAUCAGGUAGGACUACCCGCUGAACCUAAGCAUAUCA
rnacentral:misc_RNA from 1 species